GCAGGUUUCCCCUCGGGGAAUUAAUUGGGAAUCGGGUGAGAGUCCCGAACAGUCCCGCUGCUGUAACUCCGUAAAACAUUGAGCGACAAUUGCGUCACUGGUACACUCGCCGGGAAGACAGCCGCUCAUGGAGAAGUCAGAAGACCAGCCUGUCGA
rnacentral:ncRNA from 1 species